GCGUACGUCGGUCCAGGAGCCUCGGAAAGUAGUGGGGUGAAAGCUGGAUCCUGAUUGAUUGUGUUUAAAGGGUACUUAGACGGGAUUAUAAGGCAGUGGUGAAAGCCUGUCGCUUAACGAUAGAACUGCCAUUGAGACUGUAAGGCUUGAGUAUAUUUGAGGUAGCUGGAAUAAGUAGUGUAGCGGUGAAAUGCAUAGAUAGUACUUAGAACACCAAUUGCGAAGGCAGGUUACCAAGAUAUAACUGACGCUGAGGGACGAAAGCGUGUGGAGCGAACAGGAUUAGAUACCCUAGUAGUC
rnacentral:rRNA from 1 species